AGAACAAAACCUGGUGCUCAGACUCUGGAGGUGACUCUUCUGAGCCCCCACCAGUGCUGAAUAAACCUGGCUAUUCCGCAUCUCUGAGUGCCGCUUGUCUCUUUCCGCUGCCACAGUUUCUGCAACAAUUUCUGGCAUGUUGGCAUAUUGGCCAGGAAGCCGACAACCAAGCUGGGCCCUUGUGCCACCGUUGUCAGGGAAUUGGGGAAGGCUGAGGUCGCCGGCCCAGUGACAGGCAGAUAGCACAUGCCCGGCCGUUUUGCAGGAUCUUAACUCUCACUUGGGCCAUCCCGACCCGGCUCACACCGCUUCCCAAAGGGACUCAGAAGGAAGAAGGGAAACAGAUUCCAGGAUGGGACGCCAGACUGACUGGUCUGGGUCCGGGGCUUAUAUGGACCAGCAACAUGCCAAGAAGCACUUAAACCUCUGAGGGGGGGCGAUCAGGCGGACGAAAGUGAGUGCGCCCCCUACUGUUUGUCUUUUGACAUGGGCACAGGGUGGGAAUUCACACAAUGGGAAAAUCGGCUUAGACACCCACUGUCUUAGAAUGUAGGGUUAAAAAUUUUAAGAAAGGAUUCUCUGGAGAUUAUGGUGUAGAACUGAGAUCUGGAAAACUGAGCACCCUGUACCCUAGAGUGGCCCUCAGUACAGAUCAGCUGGCCCUCGGAAGGGACCUUAGUUGUGCCCAAGAUUCGAGCAGUAUAUAAUGUUAUAACAGGAGAGCCUGGACACCCAGACCAAUUUCCAUACAUUGAUAAAUGGUUAGAAGUUGCCCAUGUAAGGCCUCCUUGGGUUUGGUUCUGCUUCUCAGGCCAGGGACAGUGUAAGGUCCUCGUAGCUCAGUCCAAGAAGAAAACUCUGCCUCGAGAAAAGGAGCCACCUAUUUUUCAAGGAGAGGUCGAGGACUCGCCCCCUGUGCCACCUCCCCAUGUGCUACUGGCCCCUCCUUUGGGGGCUAAAGCUCCCCAGCUGCCAGACAGCCCACCACCUUCUGUCUCUCCUCCUCCUCUUCCCAAGGUCCCCAAGGCAAUAUCGCCCCCAUGGCCAGAUUCACCAGAACUGGUGAGUGAGCAGGUGUCUCUGGUUGGCCCAGGAAGCAGCUGGCCCAACGCUACAAAUGCUCUUACGGGAGACACGGGGACCACAGCAUAAUGCCCUCGAUGGAACCAUACAAGGGGGGGGGGAUCCAUCUUUUACUACCAGCCUUUUUCCACAACAGACCUCCUCAGCUGGAAGCAUCACACUCCCUCAUACUCUGGAAAGCCUCAGGCACAGAUCAACCUCUUAGAAUCCAUUUUCCAGACACACUGCCCCAACUGGCGGUUGUUUAAACCAAAGAGUGCCACCGAAUUGUCACAGAAGCCCAGAAAUGGCUCUAGACCAAUGCCCCAGGGCAUCAACUGGACGUGGAAAACUGGACCAGGCAAGGCUUCCCGGAGGAAGGGACUUGCUGGGACUACAACACCAAAGGGGGAAGAAAUAAUUUGGAGAGAUACCGACAGGCCCUCCUGCAGGGGGUAAAAGCUGGGGCUAAAAAGCCUACUCGCAUGGCCAAGCCCCCUGACGGGCUGCAAAAGCCGGAUGAAAGCCCGGCCAACUUCUAUGAGACACUAUGUGAGGCUUUUUGGAUCUUCACCCCUUAUGAUCCUGAUGCCUCUGAGAACAAAUGGAUGAUAAAUGCUGCCUUUGUGGGACAAGCCCAAUUGGACAUCAUAAAAAGUUACAGAAAUGAGAAGGAUUUGCAAGAAAAAAAUGCCACAGAAUUACUAGAAAUAGCCAACAAAGUUUUCAUUAACCGUGACCAGGUGGCCCACCGUGAUACAGAAGAGAAUGAAAGAAAAAGCUGCAUUUCUGGGGGCAGCCCUGUCGAAACCGGUACCUCCAGCGGGACCACCCUGUCAGUCAAGAGGCCCAAGGCCAGGAAAAAGGAGCUCCCUCGGACACGAUCCAUGUGCCUACUGUAAAGAGGAGGGAGAUUGGAAAAAUGAAUGCCCCAACUGUCCUAAGAGAAGGACAAAAGCGGCACCCCCACCUAGCUGGUACCAACCCGAGCCAUCCAUCCAGCGCGAAUCUGAUUGGCUGAGUCGAAGCAGAAUCCAACUGGGGGGGACCAGGCUCUCUCCAACUAGGCCCCCAGGAGCCUAUGGUCAGAAUUCAAGAAGGGCACCAGCCUGUAGACUUGAUGGUAGAUACAGGUGCUAAAUUCAGUGGUCACGCAACCCAAGGCUCCCCCCUCGAGAAGAGAAACUACCAUCAUUGGGGCCAGAGGCACCCAAACCCGAAGGCCCUUCUGCAGUCCCCAUCAGUGCUGGUUAGGAGGCCAUGAGGUAGUACAUGAACUUCUUUACCUGCCUGACUUCCCAGUUCCCUUGAUGGGAAGAGACCAGCUGGCCAAGAUGGGGGCUCAAAUCUCCUUCUCUGCCAAUGGAUCAGCUCAACUCAAAUUAACAGAACUGCCCUCUCUUUUAAUCAUGGCACUUGCUGAAAGGAGGGAAGAAGAAUGCACCUGUACACUUCCCCUCCAGAAGAGGGGACCAUUCCCCUGGAACUAGAGACUGUGUACCCAUUGGUUUGGGCCAAAAGAAACCCUGUAGGACUAGCAAGGCACCACGCUCCUGUCUUGACUGAUCUGAAACCUGGAGCUCAAUGUCAAAGCCGCAGCAGUACUUGAUUUCCAGAGAAGCUCGAGUGGGAAUCCAGGCUCACCUGGACAGAAUACUUGAGCACAGACUGUUGAUAAAAUGUCAGUCGCCCUGGAACACCCCCUUAUUGCCUAUAAAGACACUGGGGACACAAGACUACCACCCAGUUCAGGACCUAAGGGCCAUAAAUGAGGCAACAAUCACGGUGCACCCGUCAGAACCUAACCCAUACACCCUGCUGGGGCGGAUCCCUUCCACUGCCGAGUGGUUCACUUGCCUGGACUUAAGACAUGCCUUCUUCUGCCUCUGAGUGCUGCCUGCUGGUCAGCCCCUGUUUGCCUUUGAAAGGGAAAAUCCACACACUGGGACAAAGGAGCAGCUCACUUGGACAAGACUCCCACAAGGAUUCAAGAACUAGGAUCUACUUUUCUCAGCGGCGCCCUGGCCUCUGACCUGGCUGAAUUUCCUGGACAAAAACCAGACUGUGUCUUGCUGCAGUAUGUUGAUGACCUCUUACUGCCCAGCACCACGCAGGCUCAAUGCCCAGAGGGACCAAAAGCUCUCCUCUCCCUCCUAAUGGAGGCUGGGUAUCAAGUAAAAAGGCACAAAUCUGUAAGAAACAAGUCAAGUAUCUGGGAUUUAACAUCAUUCGUUGGCCCUGCAUGAUGUUAAAUCCCACGAUCUCAAAGCCCUGCUCCGACCACGCUGGAAGCUGGUCAGUCAAUGUAUGGCUGAAGCUUGAGGAAUUGGCUGCCGGGUGAUGUCUGUUGUUUGCUGUUAUUAACCUGGUCCCCCUUGACCCUGUCAGGAUCCAUUCUGAUGGGUGCAGAUGCACCCUGAACAUCAAGGGGGGGGGGGAUGAAGUAAGGGUUUUAACUAAAGAAACAACUCUCCCCUAAGCCGAGCAGGCAGCUGCAUGCCUGACAGCAGCUUUGCUCGCCCCAUACCACCCUUCUUGUCAUCUUGUAGCAACUAGGUCCAUGUCCUUGCUAGCAGCUCUACUAGCCAUGCUGCAAGUAUUGCUUAUCAGUUUCAUUUCUGAAAUUUUGUUUACUCAGCUUCUUAGGCAGGAACACUGCUUGGGGAAGGGGGUGCGCCUUGGGCUGCUUGCAUGGGAAAAACAAAACCCAGAGGUCUGUAUUGUAUAAACGCAUCCAGAAUAAAACCUGCUGCUCAGACUCUGGAGGCAACUCCUCUGAGCCUGCACUGGUGCUG
rnacentral:lncRNA from 1 species